rnacentral:lncRNA from 1 species
GUUGGGGUGGGGACUGCUGGGAGGCUGCCCUGUUAAUCUCUCUCUACCAUACAAGGCACUCCUUGGGUGACCCCCGUGACUGUGAUGCAGAACAGGGAAGGAGAGUGGGUGUUAACCUUGAGCCUAAGGCUCCUCCUCCACCUGUGGGACUGUAAGCCACCUCUCCUGGGCUGAGGGCUCUGGAAGGAGGCUUGGCUGCUCCUCAGCACUCGGGGAGCGGUUUUUCAGGCACACACACUUGAGCUCCAUGACCUCCCAGAUUCCCACCGCCCCUGCUUGACUCUUCCCCUGUCUCCCCUUCCUGAAAUGACCCCCUCUGAAUUCCUUUGACUGUUCUCUGGUUGUCAGUCUCACAGUGACAGGUGUGUAAAGCAUGAGGUGACCUUGGGCAAGUUGUUCAACCUCAGUGUUAUCACCUGUAGAACGGAGAAAACAAGACUACAUACUUUGGAGGUGAGGACGCUGUAGGAAGUCAUCUGCGAAGCGGAGAGUGCACCUUUACCAGACGCGGAGUCUGCUGGCGCCUUGAUCUCGGACUUUGCAGCUUCCAGAACCGUAAGCAACACAUUUCUGUUGUUUAUAAAUCAUCCAGUCUAAUGUAUUUUGUUAUAGGAGUGAUGCACAGGCCACCUCUUCUGUGACCUCGAGGGCUCAGGAUUCCUCAUGUCCUGAGGCUGGUGCGUUUGAGGACGUAUGGCCUAGGCAAGCCAUGAGCUGGCAGGGCCCCAGAGCUGCCUCAUGCAUAAAACACAGUUCCAGUUAUGAGUUUUGUUUUCUACCAAGCCCCGUGUUGAAACAAUUAUCUAAAAUCGCGCAUGCCCUUUCUUUCAUGAUCCUUCAGAAGCACACCACAAGACCAUGAAAACUCAGGCAGAUUGACAGGUGUGUCGCUUUACGGAUGUGCCUGGAAGGACCCUCUCCCCAGAGGUCAGCCCUGCGGAGGUGUAUACUGUGGUGGCAGCCACUCCUCUUCAGCAGGGAAAACCAUCAUGUCUUCAAGCACCUUUGGGUUUCUUGUCAGUCAGUGGGGAAAGGGAUUCCCAGCAGGUCCCCAGGAGCAUUUGCAGCUCGGACCCAUCACCUUUUCUUCUCUUUGCUCUUCUGUUAGUGCUGGGUUGCCGUCCAUUUCCCUGUCAGUGGAGGCUGAUAUUAGAUAAAUACCGGCUGUCACCGGUGGGCUCGGCCCAGGUUUUCUACCCCUGACUACAUCCUUUCAACAGGUGUCUGGUGACACAGAGCCCAUGUGGUCCUGUCUGCCUCACAGAUGUUAGGUUCCAGCCAAAAAAAAAAAAAAAAACAAACAAAAACCACAACCCUAGGGUGGAAAAGAAGUGUCCAGAUUUUACUGAAAAUGAGGCUUUCUAGGGCUGCUGACUAAGGCGUUUUCUUUCCAAACAUCUGAAACAGCAAACAGAUUGUAAAUUAAGAGGGAGUUACAAGAUAGUAGCUGAAGGGAAGCAAUACCUGCCUGUCUUCUGGGUUGUAGCUGUUGCUGCAUGGCCAGGACAGCAGUGGCCAGGAAAGGUGAUUAAAUAGGGUGGGGGAGAAGGGAUCACCGUGGAACAGGGGUGCCGAGACAGAUAUUAGGUUAACGGGAAGUGAGUUCAGGCCUCUUCUUUGAGCCAAGGGAGAACAUUUUAUCUGACAAGAGCUUGAACUGACCCGUGCCAUUCUCUGAUUCCCACCCAGAUCAAAGUUCAGACUCCCAAGGCAACUCAGCAGAAAUAAAGUGAAAUAAAUUGCAACCCCACUCCCCUGAUGCUUCCUAGGACUAAAGUGUUCUAUGAGGAGUUGGACAGUCCUUAGGCAAGACUUCUCU